CUACUACUACUACUACUAAUACUACUACUGCUACUACUACCUGUCGUAGUAUAUACUACAGCUCGCAGUACCACCAGCAUCAACAAACAUAUUCUUUGACGUCAUUUCCACCACUACAACCACUACGGACCGUUGCAGGGCUCAAUUUUUGUCGUUCGAUUCGCUAGAAAUAGCAACCAAUUCCGCCUCGUAUCACACAUCUCAAAACAAACGAAGGAAGCACGCUGUAGAUUACGGUAGUCUUACAUGGCUCUAUCAAGGACAGACUUCAACCCCUCCUGCUAAUGCAUAAAUAUGUCUGUGCAAAGCUCCGCCCGUUUAACCAUGUACGCUGUGUCUAACACGUGUUUAUCAAGGCAGCAAAGCAUUCGCGGUGUUUUCCUCGCACCAUCAUCUGUAGAGCAGCCUUUAACGACGGCCUGAAUCGGUGGAAAUCAGACCAAAUCGGGUUGCCAGCAACGACGGACAAUGCGCCGAAGUCGUUUGAAACGAAACCUCGAUUUUAGCAGUCAAACACAGACGUCGGCUUUUUCGCUCUUCUCCAACAAGUCGAUAUUGCUUGACCAGACGGACAGGGCCGCAUACAUUUACAAGAACCCUUACAACACCAUAGCCAACAACAACAACAACAGCAACAGCUACUACUACUACUACUACUACUACUACUACUACUACUACUACUACUGCUGCUGCUGCAAAAUCCUCCGGUUGUCUGUUGACAUAUUAUUAACACUUGCUAAUUUCAUCUUUCUAACAGCGUUGAAAUUAUAUUGCAACACAAAAAGAAACUUUUUGCAGCCGCAAAUGUGUAUAUAUUUUUCAGUUUGAUGGCGUUAUUUUCUUUUCUGCUAUUUUUCUUUUUUCAAAAAGACAGCAAACAUGUAAAAUAGAAAGAAGACAAGAGAAAGUGAUAGAGAGAGAGAGAGAGAGAUACAUAGAGAAAAAAAGAAAGAAAGAAAGAGAGAGAGCGAGAGAGAGAGAGAGAGAAAGGGUAAACAAUAACAGCUGCUACAAAGCAGAAAGCAAACAGCAAAA